rnacentral:rRNA from 1 species
AUUGAACGCUGGCGGCAUGCUUUACACAUGCAAGUCGAACGGCAGCGCGGGCUUCGGCCUGGCGGCGAGUGGCGAACGGGUGAGUAAUGCAUCGGAACGUGCCCAGUAGUGGGGGAUAGCCCGGCGAAAGCCGGAUUAAUACCGCAUACGACCUGAGGGUGAAAGCGGGGGACCGAAAGGCCUCGCGCUAUUGGAGCGGCCGAUGUCGGAUUAGCUAGUUGGUGGGGUAAAGACUUACCAAGGCGACGAUCCGUAGCUGGUCUGAGAGGACGACCAGCCACACUGGGACUGAGACACGGCCCAGACUCCUACGGGAGGCAGCAGUGGGGAAUUUUGGACAAUGGGGGCAACCCUGAUCCAGCCAUGCCGCGUGCGGGAAGAAGGCCUUCGGGUUGUAAACCGCUUUUGUUCGGGAAGAAAUCCUCUGGGCUAAUACCCCGGGGGGAUGACGGUACCGGAAGAAUAAGCACCGGCUAACUACGUG